UCGCUAACUAUACAUUUUUUGGAACAUUUACAGUCUUUACUUAUAAAUUGUAUAUUUUGGCAUUGCCGUAUAGAAAUUACCCGUCAAUAUUGUGCUAUAAGACCACUGAAACAAUGACAUUGUCCUGACUUUUCUUAUCUCACUAUAGAAUAUUUUUUUUUUCCUCUUUCCUUUCGUUAUUUAGGUUUCUCCUCCGCACCGACUACGUCCAGUCGAACUGGACCUUCGGUACAGACCUCCCCUACCGGAGCCCCCAGUCAAUGGGCUACAGUUGUAAUCAUCCGGAUGCCGUCUGCGUAACUCCAAGUAUCUGUGUCGGGCGUCGCAGUAAUGAAGAAGC
rnacentral:misc_RNA from 1 species